AGUGAACGCUGGCGGUAGGCCUAACACAUGCAAGUCGAACGGCAGCACAGUAAGAGCUUGCUCUUACGGGUGGCGAGUGGCGGACGGGUGAGGAAUACAUCGGAAUCUACUUUUUCGUGGGGGAUAACGUAGGGAAACUUACGCUAAUACCGCAUACGACCUACGGGUGAAAGCAGGGGAUCUUCGGACCUUGCGCGAUUGAAUGAGCCGAUGUCGGAUUAGCGAGUUGGAGGGGUAAAGGCCCACCAAGGCGACGAUCCGUAGCUGGUCUGAGAGGAUGAUCAGCCACACUGGAACUGAGACACGGCACAGACUCCUACGGGAGGCAGCAGUGGGGAAUAUUGGACAAUGGGGGCAAGCCUGAUCCAGCCAUACCGCGUGGGUGAAGAAGGCCUUCUGGUUGUAAAGCCCUUUUGUUGGGAAAGAAAAGCAGCAGGUUAAUACCCCGCUGUUCUGACGGUACCCAAAGAAUAAGCACCGGCUAACUUCGUG
rnacentral:rRNA from 1 species